rnacentral:rRNA from 1 species
AUGGAGGCCAUGGUGAGCGCCCCCCACGGCGCCGUGCAGAUCCUGUUGCGGAAGCUCGGCAACGUCCUCGCCACCAAAUAUGUGCUUCUCAGCGGCGUUCGUGGGGAGAUCCAGGUGCUCAAGGACGAGCUCGAGAGCAUGACCGCCUGCCUCCUCGAGCUCGCCGAUAGAGAUGAUCACAACGAACAAAUCAGGAUUUGGAUGAAACAGGUGAGGGAGGUCGCGUUUGAUGCGGAGGACUGUAUGGACAGGUUCUGUCGUCACCUCAGCGAGCACCAUGGAGAUCGACAAGGACUCCUGGAAUACUUGAAUAGAAUGUUCAACAUUGUGAGGACAUUGAGGGUACGACAUAAGGUGGCCACUGAUAUCCAGUGCCUCAAAUCUCGUGCCCAGGAAGUCAGUGACCGGAGGCUCAGGUACACGUACACUCUAGGUGACUCGGAUGGACGGUCGGGCAGAGCGCUUUAUACUUACAGCCACAUCGACAGCCUGGACCGCUGGUUACCUGCAAUCCAUGGUGACAGGUCCGGGCUAGUCGGGAUGGGCAAAAUGACUGAUGCCAUGGUCGGGCUGCUCAACAAGCAACGCCAGGCAGCGGCGGGUCCCCGAGUGCUGUCUAUAGUGGGGUUCGGUGGCCUCGGCAAGACCACCCUUGCGACGACUGUCUACAACACCCCAAAGUUGGGUGGUAUCCAGUGCCGCGCUUUCGUUUCGGUGUCCCAGACAUACGACCUUCGUUCUCUUCUAGAGUCCAUGCUGAAGCAGCUUUUGGCUUCGUCUGAGAAAGAUAAAAAUGAUGAUCCCCUCAAGAACAUUAAAGACUGGGAAAUAAGUGAGUUAGUCGACAAGAUUGGAAAACAUUUGGAUGCCAAGAGGUACUUGAUCGUUCUGGACGACGUUUGGAGAGCAGCUGCAUGGGAUCAGCUAAAAGUAGCUAUUCCUCAUGAUAAUAAUAAUAAAGUGGGCAGCAUAAUAAUUACUACACGCAGUCAUGAGGUAGCCGAAAGUUGCUGCACCUCUUCCAAUGACCAUGUCUAUGCAAUGAAGCGGUUACAGGAGGCUGAUUCACAGAAGCUAUUCUUCAAGACGGUGUUUAAUUCAGGGGAAUGUCCGACCGACCUGCUGAGAGUCUCCAAGGCCAUAUUGUCAAGGUGCAACGGCCUACCUCUAGCUAUAGUGAGCAUAGGGCGAAUGCUAGCUCGGAGGCUAAACAAGACAUCGGCAGAGUGGCAAACAAUAUGUGAUAGGCUGGGUUCUGAACUGGAGACAAACCCCACUUUAGAGGGAAUGAGACGGAUACUUGCUCUCAGCUACAAUGAUCUGCCGUACCAUCUGAAAGCAUGUUUCUUAUACCUGUGUGCUUUCCCUGAGGAUUUUAAGAUCAGAAGAGGCUCUCUGAUUAGAAGGUGGGCAGCUGAAGGCUUAAUCAUUGGAAUGUAUGACCGCAGUUUGGAAGAGAUUGCUCAGAUUUGUUUGGAUGAGUUUGUCAGUAGAAACAUUGUCAUCCCUGAACAGAUUGGCUCCAGUGGCAAGAUUAAGAGUUUUAAAGUCCAUGACAUAAUGCUAGAAGUUAUCAUUGCCAAAUCUGUCAAGGAAAAUUUCAUUUCGUUCCUAGGUAGCAGUCAAUACAAUACAACAGCAGGCCAUGACAAGGUACGACGGCUCUCCAUCCAUCCUGGUGGAACCAAUGAGAAGAGAACCUUUUGCAGUAAGAACAUAGUCCAUACCCGUUCACUGUCAAUUCUGGACAGCACUGCGAAACCUGUACCUAUCAAAAUUUCUGAUUUGACACUUUUAAGGGUUUUGGAUCUUGAAGGAUGUGCAUGGUUAAGAAAUAAAGAUCUCAAGGAGAUUUGCAAACUGUCUUUGCUGAGAUACCUAAGCCUCAGAAACACAACCAUAUCCCAACUACCAAAUGCAAUAGGGAAACUUAAAGAAUUGGUGACAUUGGAUGUAAGGGAAACUUCUGUCGCCAAAUUUCCCAAAGGCAUUACUCGGCUCCAGAAUCUGAAUCAUCUACUUGUAGGCCGUUAUGCAUAUUACACAAGGACAAAAAGUGUCAAGCAUUUUGUGUGGAAUGAUGGAGCAAAGGUACCACUUGGAUUAGGGAAUAUGGGCGCCCUCCAGAGAAUCUCUCAUGUAGACAUCUCUACAAAGAAAAGCUCCAAUGCAAUGCGUGAGCUGGGAAAAUUGCGUCAGUUAACAAGACUUUGUGUAAUCAACAGGAAGGAAGCAAAGCUUUGGAAACCAUUUGCUGAGUCUUUGGAUGAGCUUAGCAACUCUCUACGCUAUCUAAUGGUUGUGGACGGUUCAGAGCAAGUCAAGAAGCUGAAAUUUUUAGCAGGCCUGAAGAAUCCCCCUCUGUUGCUGGAGAGCCUGCAUUUGGUGGGACGGCUAAGGGAGCUGCCUAGCUGGGUUUCAUCACUCAAUAACUUGGCCAGUCUGUCGCUUCGAGAGACUCACCACUUGGCUGAGGAAUCUUUUGAGGUUCUAGCGAAGCUCCCCAGUCUUGUUUCUCUCAAGCUAUACUGCAAGGGAUAUAAGGGGAGAGCCUUAUUUAAAGAGGGCUGGUUUCCCCAGCUGAAGCAAUUGGUUGUGGAUAAUCUGGAACAGCUCGAGGAGCUCAGCUUCCAUGGGGGCGCAUCUAAACUUGAGAGGCUGACAUUGUAUUUCCCGAGUGUGCCCCGUGGAGGCGUUAAUGGCAUUGGAAAAGAAAAGCUGCCUCAGCUAAGAGAAGUUGAGUUCUUCGGUGUCGUUAUAGAGUCUAUAUUUGAGCAGGUGGUUGAGGCGGCCAAAGAAUAUCCAAAUCAUCUUAAAGUUACCAGGGAGGAUCGACCUACUACGGAAGCUGCAGAAACAAGUUCAGGGGCGGGGAGCAGUGAGCAGGAGUCAACCGACCAGCAGGUGGAUAGGCUUGCAUGGCGUCUGCUGCCUUCAACGUGUCCUCUCGCUUAUAUACUGAAUGUACAUGAGAUCGAGCCAUCUUGCAUUUGGUUGUGGAAAUCUUAUUUACCUGCAGAUCGACCGAGCCAACUACAGUUCUUAUUUACCUGGCAUCGCAGCAGAUAUGGAAGGACGCACCAUCCAUGA